rnacentral:rRNA from 1 species
UACGUAGGGGGCUAGCGUUGUCCGGAAUCAUUGGGCGUAAAGCGCGCGUAGGCGGCCCGGUAAGUCCGCUGUAAAAGUCAAAGGCUCAACCUUUGAAUGUCAGUGGAUACUGCCGGGCUAGAGUCCGGAAGAGGCGAGUGGAACUCCUGGUGUAGCGGUGGAAUGCGCAGAUAUCGGGAGGAACACCAGUGGCGAAGGCGGCACUCUGGGCCGGUACUGACGCUGAGGAGCGAAAGCGUGGGGAGCGAACAGG